rnacentral:rRNA from 1 species
GAUGAAUGCUGGCGGCGUGCCUAACACAUGCAAGUCGAGCGGUAACAUGCUCUGAACUAGCUUUUUCUCUCCCUCUGAGACAGGAGUAGGGAUUUUAUUCAUAAAAUUCCGUCUUCCAAUCAAAAGGAUGAAGCGCCUAGGCGUAGAGGAGAAGGUUGUUCAGAGUGAUGACGAGCGGCGGACGGCUGAGUAACGCGUGGGAAUUUGCCCCAAAGUGAGGAAUAAGCACCGGAAACGGUGUCUAAUGCCGCAUAUGGUCUUCGGAUUAAAGUCUUCGGACGCUUUGGGAGAAGCCCGCGUUGGAUUAGGUUGUUGGUGAGGUAAUGGCUCACCAAGCCGACGAUCCAUAGCUGGUCUGAGAGGAUGAUCAGUCAGACUGGAACUGAGACACGGUCCAGACUCCUACGGGAGGCAGCAGUGAGGAAUCUUCCACAAUGGGCGAAAGCCUGAUGGAGCAACGCCGCGUGCAGGAUGAAGGCCUUCGGGUCGUAAACUGCUUUUAUGAGUGAAGAAUAUGACGGUAACUCAUGAAUAAGCACCGGCUAACUACGUGCCAGCAGCCGCGGUCAUACGUAGGGUGCAAGCAUUAUCCGGAGUGACUGGGCGUAAAGAGUUGCGUAGGCGGUUAGUUAAGUGAAUAGUGAAAUCUGGUGGCUCAACCAUACAGACUAUUAUUCAAACUGGCUAACUCGAGAGUAGUAGAGGUAACUGGAAUUUCUUGUGUAGGAGUGAAAUCCGUAGAUAUAAGAAGGAACACCAAUGGCGUAGGCAGGUUACUGGGCUAUCUCUGACGCUAAGGCACGAAAGCGUGGGGAGCGAACCGGAUUAGAUACUCGGGUAGUCCACGCCGUAAACGAUGGAUACUAGCUGUAGGAGGUAUCGACCCCUUCUGUAGCGAAGCUAACGCGUUAAGUAUCCCGCCUGUGGAGUACGGCCGCAAGGCUAAAACAUAAAGGAAUUGACGGGGACCCGCACAAGCGGUGGAUUAUGUUCUUUAAUUCGAUGAUAACCGAAGAACCUUACCAGGGCUUGACAUCCAGGGAAGGACUACGAAAGUAGUUUGUGCCUUUUGGAACCCUGCGACAGGUGAUGCAUGGCCGUCGUCAGCUCGUGUCGUGAGAUGUUAGGUUAAGUCCUUCAACGAGCGCAACCCUUAUUGUCAGUUGGAUUUUUCUGGCAAGACUGCCCCGGUAACGGGGAGGAAGGAGGGGAUGAUGUCAGGUCAGUAUUUCCCUUACGUCCUGGGCUAGAAACGUAAUACAAUGGCUAGUACAAUGCGCAGCGAAAGCCGCGAGGUGAAGCAAAUCGCAUCAAAGCUAGUCCCAGUUCGGAUUGCAGGCUGAAACUCGCCUGCAUGAAGUCGGAAUCGCUAGUAAUCGCAGAAUCAGCAAGCUGCGGUGAAUACGUUCCCGGGUCU